GAAAUGCGAAACGUAAUGCGAUUUGCACGAACCUGUGAGUCAUCAAGUCUUUGAACGCACCUUGCACCAUAUGAGCAAUCGUAUGGUAUACCUGUUUGAGAAUCGUAAAAGCCCUCUCCUACCUUCCCUUGUGUUGGGUAGGGAAGUGUCUGCUUUGGGUGUGAGCCCAAUCGGAUCAAAAGCAGUAGGUCUAGUCAGGCUGGUGGCCUGGGACAUUGUGUGCUAGAGACGUCGCCCUUGGUGGUUGCUGUCUUCUCACGAUGCGUCCUGGGCUAUUUCAAGCUGGUCUGGCGGUCGGCCUCCUCGGUGGGACACCCUUCGCGGGUGUGCUACAACCCCCCCUUUUGAUCUCAAAUCAGGUAAGGCUACCCGCUGAACUUAA
rnacentral:misc_RNA from 1 species